rnacentral:rRNA from 1 species
UACAGAGGGGGCAAGCGUUGUUCGGAAUUACUGGGCGUAAAGCGCACGUAGGCGGUUUUGUCAGUCAGGGGUGAAAUCCCGGAGCUCAACUUCGGAACUGCCCUUGAUACAGCACGUCUUGAGUCCGAGAGAGGUGGAUGGAAUUCCUAGUGUAGAGGUGAAAUUCGUAGAUAUUAGGAAGAACACCGGUGGCGAAGGCGGUCCACUGGCUCGGUACUGACGCUGAGGUGCGAAAGCGUGGGGAGCAAACAGG